rnacentral:lncRNA from 1 species
CCUCCCAAAGUGCUGAGACUACAGGUGUGAGCCACUGCGCCCGACCAACAGUCUCUUAAAUAAAGUUUCAUGUACUCUUUGGCCCAGCAAUUAAGCUUUAUAGAAAUUAUUGCUGAAGUUUGAGAAGUCAUAUUUGCAAGGAUGUUUAUCAUAACAUAAUACUUUUAAUUCCAAAGAGUAGAAAUAAAAUGUCUACCCUAAGGGACUAAUAACAAAAAUUCUAGUAUAUUGCUAUCAUGGAAUACCUAGUUAGUUACAAAAAGGAAUGAGAUGGAUAUGUCUGUGCUCAUACGGAAAGUUUCACCAAAUCAGUUACUAAGUGAAAAUGUAAAGUUGAGAACAACUUGCAUCAUUCACCUUUGAAUAAAAUGUUGUAUAAUGAUUAUAUACAUAAAGUUGUAUACGUUAGCAUGUGCAUAAUGUUUUCCCCUCUGGACAUGAGUGAAGUGUUACAUCUAUGGAAAGAGUCCAAAAAGGUGUCAGAGGAUUCUGUUGCUUUCCAGUUAAUAUUUCUAUAUUACUUGAACAUAACGCACCAUGUGUAUGUAUUACCAAAGCCCAGAUAUGGAAAAUUUGCACACUGAAGUUUGAGGAAUAAAGGACAGCUUGACUAAAAUGACAUCAAUCCACUUGAAAUUUUGCAACCAUCUGUGUGAAUAAACGUUCUUUAAAUACCUCUUGACUUCAACCCACUUGGAUUUUGCUUUUGGAUUAUUUUUUCACUUGGGUUGGUUACUUCCAAUUUGGCGUUGAUGAUCUGAUGCCUACUUUUUUACCUGUCUGUGGCAAACAGUUUAUCUAGGCUGCUUAAUUGACUUUUGCUACUUUCUCCUUGGAUUCUGACUGCAGCUAUGUUCUGCUUCCAGGUCAGUCCAGUUUGGCUUCAGGUUCUAUUCUUCAAUACGUCCACUUAAUUCUGGACUCAACUUUCUCACUCUGACAAUUUCAGCCAACAAAUUCCUAGAAUAUGUUAUCUUGCAAAAGAAAGUGACAACUAUGACAUCUCAGUCCUUGAAGAGACCUGGUUAUCUUGCAACUGGACAAGGUUGGAUGCUGAAAACAGAAAGUUGUUUGAAAAUCUUUAGACCACCAGAAGGCCAGCUCCAACUCACCCUGACUACUGCUCUCAUCCUCUACUUAAGCUCAUUUGCUUCAAUCACCUGGCUUAUAUGGAGAAGGACACAAAACAACAUUUGGCGUCACUCAACUCCAGUGAUAAAAGUUAUUCCCCAAACCCCAGCUGAAUGGAUUCUAUUGGUCUGAAGGAUGGACAGAUGAGACUCUAUAUAAUGCACAGGAAGACAUGAAUACAUGGAACUACUAAUUCAGCAUUACUUUCAGAAAUGAUAGAAGCAUGUAACAGGGCAAAAAAAUGUGAAGAAAGUGUUUAUGCUGCCAGUAUUGUAAUCACAGUGUAUUCAAGGAACUCCACUGAUGUUUUAUAGAAUCCAGAUUUAUGAAGCCUGGAGAUUCACCAUAAACCUUAGCAUCAACUUGCUGAAGUGAAUAGAAAUGACAACA